rnacentral:tRNA from 1 species
AAAAAGGUAAGUUAAAAAAACUAUUGGAUUCAUGCUCCAAAAUUAUAUGAAGAUAUCUUUUUUU